rnacentral:lncRNA from 1 species
UGAAGAUGGUGAUGCGUUUAUUUAAGGAGAAAGUGUCUCCCUGUUUAGCCCAGGCUGGCCUGGGAGUUACGACAGAUCUCCUGACUGCCACCCUUAACAGUGACUAGACAUUGGAGUUUUCAUUUAUGAUGAGUGUAGAGAGUUUGCUGAGCAGCUGCUCAGUGAUAGGCUCUGUCCCUUUGCAAUGGAAGUGGAGAUAAGACAAACGGUGACACUGGGUAAGGACCAUUCCUCUGGAGAGGUCUGGGCAAAGUGCCAUGAGGCUACCAGGGAACAGGACCCGAAUCAUUGGAGGACAGAGACUUGGAGAACCAAAGAACAAGCCAAAGAGUUGCUGCAAAAGGCGCGGAGCAGAUAAGCAUGGAGAUGCUUAUGUGGAGCAGUUCAAGUACACGCCAG